AAAAAAAAACAAUUGAGAAAAAAAAGGGGUUGGUGCAUCUCCCAUCAUUUGCAGAAAUCACCCAUACAUCCUUUUUUUUUUCGAUUUCGAUUUCGCUUAAAGUGUUGCUGUUCUUGUAUCCCUUUCCUUCCAGUGCUUUUUUUUUGUUGCACGCGCUCCGCUGCCGCUCCACCGUGCAAAGAACGAGAGAAAUCGUUUCGCCAAAACACACACACACACAUAGAUAUGGUUAUCGCUCAGACGAAAAAGCAAGAGAAAAACGAAAAAAAAGGGGGAAGGAAAGCCUACGCAAGCGCAUCCUUUACACCAAAUAGCGAAAAAAAAAUCGCGCUGAACACGCUCCAGCCUGUAUUCUCCGUUCGCUCUCCCCCUCCUGCUGUCCUUUGCUUUCCUUCCUUCUUGUAUUGCAUAUAUAUAUAUAUAUGUUUAUUUAUUCGCCUAAGCUCAUCAGGAAGCACACACGUGCAGAGACACUUCUAUACUUUUUGCCUCCGAGCUGUGACGCACCGCGCUCCUAUCGACGCUCCAAGCAGUGGAAAACAGGGGCGAAGUGGUUGCUCGCAUCGCUAAACACGGACGCACAUACACAAAGUGAGCUGCCUGGGUAGGCGAGUAGGGUGAUGCGGUGCUUGACGACGUCCUCGAGGCCCAGGACGAGCGGAGGUGCAAUGCCGUCGUCUUUAAUCUCAUUUCUCGCACUGCUGCCACUGCUGAUGUUACUCAUCCUAGGCGUCACGGCGCAGAGGACGCUUGGCAAGGGCAUCCACGCUGCUGUGGAAGCUUCGUGGAACGAGACGUCGCUCUAUCAGGAGGGCUGCGAGUGGGCCGCGCGCUCUUUCGGCGACGAGGCCUUCUACAGUUGCCUUGAUGCCCUCUGGCCGCCGUCUCCGUCGCAGGACCGCGGAAGAAGUAGCGCGGACUCUGAGGGGGCGCGCGAGGCGACUAGCGCUCGCUUUCUCACGCAGCAGCUGCAGUACAUGAGACUUCUCGAGGUUCUCUUUCGCCUGCCUGAGACGCGAGGCACCAACAGGGCCGUUUUUGAAGCAGAGAUGGCGGCUCGCGUCUACUCGCCGGCAGUGGAGGCGCACUACACCCUUGCGGAUAAGGCUCUCCGCGAGACGACGCCGCCGUCCUUGUCGGAGAGGGACGACAGCGACCAAGGUGAGCGUGGCAGCGGGAACAGAUUGGCCUGUGGCGAACCCUUCGCCGUAGUUUACACCCGCACUGCUCCAGGUGCCCCACUACAGGCGCUUCGUGUCAAAACACCUUCAGCCCUGAAGAACGCAGCUGGUGGUGCGGGGCCGCAACACAGAGAUGCCUUGGUGUCCAUAGACGAGGUUGCUUUCGCGAGCUUCGAUCACCGUCACCCGGCGUCAUCGCUGGCUGCUGUUCGCGAGGUACCGGCUGUGGUGGUUCUGUAUGGACUGCCUGGCUCCCCUGCUGCCCACGCGCUGCACCGCGUUGCCGUGGAGCUGUCGACCCCCUCCGACGCCGCCAGUGCCACCGUCUCUGGUGUUCCGGCCUAUUUCUGGCGUCAUCUACCAGUGUCGGUGUCACGUCUCUGCGCCGCUGCUGGUGCACCUGAGCGGUCAUUGGCAGCAGCGAUGACGAGUCUGUGGGACAGCCCUUUGGUUGUACAGGGCUAUGGCGUUACCGUGGACAUUAAAAACAUGGAGUACAAGGUGCUGGAUGAGAAGGCGGCCGCGCAGCAACGAGCCAAGGAGCAGAGCUCGACGGCAGUGGAUGCGGGGUCGUCGCAUGACGGCACCGAUGCUCCGGCUGCGGCGAAGCGGGUACCGAAGACGCAGGUGGACCGCAUCGUUGGCGGCUUUCACGUUGGCCGGCUGAAGGAGCGCUACCCGGGCUUGGCUGCCUCCCUCGACGAAUUCGCCAUCCUCCUUGACGAGGAGAUGGGCAGCGACGACGUGAAGGUGAACUUUGAUGUGCGGGAGCUGCAGAAAAUAGGCCUUGCGGCGACGCAGUAUAUCAGCGAAGUGGAGAACCACAUCCGGCGCUUGCACGUGCUAACGGACUUGGUGAUGCGGUUCCCGACGUACGCCACCGCCCUCUCCCGCAUCGCGGCACUACCCGGCCGACUCGUGGAGGUGCAGAAGACUUUGCUCAUUCUUCACCAGCGCAUGAGGCCAGGUCAGUCAGCCUUCUUCGUGGACGGCUGGCGAGUGGAGGAGAAGGAACUCACCUUAUUUGGAGUCCUGCAUGCCUUGCAUGAGGAAGAGCGGCUCGUUCGGCGCAUCAAAACGGUGCUGACCACGUACGCAGUUGCCGCUGAUGACGCUGCGUCUGCCGCAGAAGACGCAGUACGCGAGGCGCGCACGGUGCCAUUGGCGCCCGCAGUGCUCGAGAAGGUUGCCGACUACGUGAAGCGGACAACUCGCCGCACCAUUGCCAGCUUCGAGGGCAGCGUCGAUACAGAGGCCGCGUACGCGAUUCCUUCAGAGCACAUCAUCUGGAUCAACAAUGUCGAGACGAACCCGCGGCUCAAGAGGCUGCCACCGGUGCUCUCGAUCCUCUUAGCCCGUGGCUACGCCAAAACACCGCUUCCGCGGCGCAACCUGCUGAACUUCGUGUUCUUGUGGAAUCCGGUCUCCAGGUCGAGUCUGCAGAUGAUAUCCCUGCUGUUCCGCCUCCAUCAGGAGGGCCUCAUCGCUCGCUACGGGCUUGCGCUGGCGGACCAGACAUGGUCGCCUGUGUUUGAGGCAGGGGUGCAGGGUGGUGCCGGAGGGUUCAAGGGCGAGUCUGCCGGGUCGCAGGCCGCACUUCAGGUAUUCGCUCUCGUGUAUCACCUUGCCGCUAGGGGCAAGGAGAAUAAUGUGCUGAUCUUUCUGAUGGAGCUGUUGGAGGAAGCCAAGCAGGCCAGGGCGGAUACGAUUCCUGACGUGGUGAUAACUCGCGUGUGCACGAGGACCGCACAGGCGCAGCUCAACUCCGAUGUCGGUAAACUGACGAGCAAUGCGGAUUUUCUGAGCCACUACCACGAGACGCAAGCGGCGCUGCGCCGCUUCCGUGUUCCAGAGUACCCGGUCACCUUCCUUAACGGUGUCCUGCUGGAGAAUAGCAUGGCCGUCAUGUCAACCGCGCUCCAGAGGGAGAUAGCGUUGCUGCGGGGGUGGGCAGCAAGCGGGGCCCUGCGAGACGAGAUGAAGGACAUGUACAGCGCCAUUCUGAAGCAGCGAGGCGCUGCGGACCACCUGCAACCCGCAUUAGUGCGUGCCCCGGUGACGAUGCGGUGGUCGGACACGCCAGCUACGGUCGCCUACAUUGAGAGUCUGCCAUACGUGUAUAGUGCUUCGUACGCUGAGGAAGUCCCGGCACUCACGCAGCUUGUGAUGUUGCCGUGCGAAUUCACGACUGCGAUGCUGCAGCAAUUGCAAACGGUUAUGGAAGCGCUGGAGGAGUGCGGCGUUGCCGUGAAGGCGCAAGGAGCGAUCCAUGAAGUGUGCGGCAUGCUGCGACUUUCGCUGGUUUCAUCUCCAGCCGCCACCUCUCUCUUUCAUCGCCACAUUGGAGCGCUUCAGCAGCAGCUGGCUCGCAGCAGCACGCCGAAGGCAGCGCGGUACACUACACUUCGACGGUACGUGUCCCACAUCGCGAAAGCCGUGACGUCGGCGAAUGUAGGCGUGAACCCUGUUCUGGGCACAGAGACGGUAGCUGCAGCGCUGGCGGCGGCACCACUCCCUGCCGACCUGCAGGAGUUGGUCGGUGUCUCCCGCAUCACCGGUACAAGUGCAUCGUCGCAGUGGGCUCGCGCAAAGGUGCAGUUUUGGUCCGCCUUCGCCGAAGCGUAUCACGGAAGCGCUGGCAGCGUUGCCCUGGUCAUCAAUGGCCGCAUCGUUGCCAUGGAUGCCAGCUUUAGCGCUGCAGACGUUCUCUCGGCAGCUCGGCUCGUGGCACCCAUCACAAAAGCGGCCCAGAAGGCGUUAAUGAAUGUGAGAUUUGCCGAGAUGAGCACCGCCGACGGGGGCUACGCUGCAGAUGAGUUAGACAACAACUUUUUCGCUAGCAAAGCUGCCUGCCUGAGCAGCGUGUUCGGAGACGAGAUCUCGCAGCACAUGGGGAAGCAGAGCUCCUCUGUGUCUGCUCUGAUGCGGGAGGAGCGCAUCCUCGGGUCUGAAAAUGACUGGAAGCCGCUGCAGGCAGUGCUGUUCACGGUGAGCAACGUCGCCAGGAAUGCUGGGGAAGAAGCAGGCACAGCGAGUGGGGCGGUGCCGCAACCUCUGCACCAUGUGACCGUCGUAGUGGAUCCUUCGUCGCGUGAUGCUCAAGUGAUCGUUUCGCUCGUUCACUACCUCGUCCAGUCCCCGCUGCACAUUCGCCUCACUGUUCUGUUGAAUCCAUCACUGGAUGUCAAGUUCCCGAUUCGAAACUUCUACCAGUACGUCGCGAGCCCAGCGCUGGCGUUCGAGGCAACCUCCGGCCGCGUCGUCGCGCCGCAUGCCACCUUCUCGCAAAUGCCGUCGUCGACGCUGCUCACGCUGGGCAUUGACGAGCCGCCGUCGUGGACCGUCUUCUCGCAGGAUGCUGAGGUGGAUCUGGACAAUAUCAUGCUGUCGAGGCUGCCUCGAAGCAAUCUUUUUGUGACAGCCGUCUACCGCAUUCACUCAGUGCUGAUAACGGGUGGUACGACCGAUGUGCAGACGGGUGUCGCCCCUGACGGGCUUCCACUCUCCUUGCUCCAUUCGUCUCGCGCACGCGGCGCUUCGGAGGUGGCCUCGGCAGCCGGCACCACCGACACACAGGUAAUGGCGAGCAACGGCGGAUACUACCAGCUGCAGGCCAACCCAGGACUCUGGCACCUCUCCAUCAAGGAAGGCCCGGUGGCGGCGGCCUAUUGCAUCAAGGCCAUCGACGGCCACGCCGUGCGCGGCUGCACGGAGGGGGCGAACGGGCCGUUGCUGACGAACAGUACACACGGCCAGCGCAUCCCGCUCGUGAUCGACUCCUUCCGCGGCCGUUAUCUGUCGCUACAGGUGGGUCACACGCCUACAUCCGAGGUGGCAGCCGAUUUGCACACGAUCCUGCAGCAAAUGGCGUCCGAUGUGCGACCCGAGUGGCCUCCCUCGUAUUCGGCGCGUGACGCAAAGCCUGCGCUGCCAGCGAAACCGACGCUCAACAUCUUCUCCGUCGCCUCCGGUCACCUGUACGAGCGCUUUCUACGAAUGAUGAUGUAUAGCGUUCACAAAACGUCGAGUGAUCAGCACGGCUCCAACACGACGCGCAUCAAGUUCUGGGUUAUUGAGAACUUUCUCUCCCCGCAGUUCAAGCGGUACAUCCCCCUCCUCGCGGAGCGGCUGGGGUUCGAAGUCGGCUUUGUGACGUACCGCUGGCCGUGGUGGCUGCCACGGCAAACAGAGAAGCAGCGCAAGAUCUGGGCCUACAAGAUUCUCUUCUUGGACGUGCUGUUCCCUCUCGAUGUCGACCGGAUCAUCUUCGUCGACGCUGACCAGACUGCUCAAGCGGACCUGCACGAGUUGUACAACAUGGACAUUGGCGGCAAGCCAAUCGCCAUGACCCCGUUUUGCCUUAAGUUCAAAAACAAGGCGACCAUGUCCUUCAGAUUCUGGGAACGGGGAUUCUGGAAGGACCACCUGCGCGGCAAGCCCUACCACAUCAGCGCUAUCUUCCUCGUCGACCUUCGCCGCUUUCGCGCAAUGUUUGCGGGCGACCAGUACCGCGACACCUACGCGAGCCUAGAAGGGGAUCCGAACAGCCUGCAGAACCUCGACCAGGACCUGCCCAACUACCUGCAGCACUCUAUUCCCAUCUUCUCCUUGCCAGAAGAGUGGCUCUGGUGCGAGACGUGGUGCAGCGAUAAAAGCAAAUCGAAAGCCAAGACGAUCGACCUCUGCAACAACCCGCGGACGAAGAUGCCAAAGCUGGAGAACGCCAAGAUGAUCAUUCCCGGCUGGGAGGAGCUGGACAACAAGCUGCAGAACUUGUCGGACAGUGUGCUCGCCAGCUUGUGAGUGCCGAGGCGAUGGCGUGGAGAGGAAUCCUCUAUGAACGCCGUUCUGUGCAUCUUUAAGGUCGUAGGAGUUGUUUUUUUUUUCGCGUGCGGAUGUGUGUUUGGCACGGCGCUACGAUAGGCUAUGACUAUUUUUUUUUGUUUCGUGUGUGUCUGUUUUUCAAGCUCGCAGCGUCAUCUCGUUUCGGCCCGUAUGCGGGUUAGUCAACCCAUAUGCCUUUCGUUGCUUCCUUUCCCUUCUUUGAGCCCUUUCUUGUGUGUUCUCCUCUACUCUCAGACACCGCCACCGUGUUCGCAGCACGACGGUACUGUCUUUGAUGUAGGACGCUCGUACGCACACGCAAGAACGGUGAAUGCCCGCAAACGUGCAAGGCCAGAGUCUGCUCGAUGAGGUCAUGCGACACGUUAUACACGUACACACAACUCUCCCCCGCUCUCGCUGUAUGGAAAAGACAUCUGGCGGCCCACACGCUCCACCGUCUGUAUGUGUUGCACAGCUCCUUCACCCUCCUUCUUUUUUCAAGGGGGGAAGGACUUUUGUGCCUCUGACGACGGACGGGGAGGUGGACACCCCUCUCCGCGCGUGGCAUCGCAGGGCGCAGUACACCCCUCUCCCUAUCCCUGCCAACGCCGAGCCACUUCAGGUGGUGAAAACUUCACGCACCUCGGACAUGGCGGAGGGCGGGAGGGUGAGAGCGAUGUACCGCUACGCAUGCCGGCGGUCAGACUGUGGACAUUGUUGCGCUGGAGAGGCCAGCGACGGUGCGCACGCUUCUGCCAUCCACGUGAUAGGCGACGUGUCCGCGUGACUCGAACGUAUCCCACAUGGCCCCCGCACUGCCUGCUGGUGUGGGGAGCCUGAGUGCCACCCCGAAGGAUGCCCCGGACAGGGACCAGCACAAUGGGUGGCGCGGCUGCGAGGCGACCGGCUAAGCGGCGGUGAUGGGUGGAGCCUGGUGCAGGGGGCCGUGCUCCGAUGACGGAGUCGGCGCACUCUCUAGCGCGUGUGUCCACGGCUGCUUCGCACCGCGCGGUGGGGUCUGUGGCAGGCCGGGGGCGGGUGGAGUGGCGUGCAACUCAUGUUGUAUGGCAGAGAGGGUGGAUCCAUCAAAGAAAUACUCUGCCGAUGUAGUCUCUCGAGUGCUUGCCAAGCCACUACGACUUUCUCACUCGUUCUCCUCCGUAUCCUCUUCCUUUGUGUGUGUGUGCUUCAUACAACCGCGGCGAUCGGUUUUGGAUCUCCGAACUCGACGCCGCCACGAUCACACGGCGAACAAUGCAAACGCGUACACAUUUAUACGAACGCGUGUGUGCGCCUGGACAG
rnacentral:misc_RNA from 1 species